ensembl:lncRNA
CUGAAACUGUCAAAAAGUAAGUUCAUGAGAAGGUGCCAGAAAAUUCAUCCACAUAAAAACUGCUCAAACUAACAAAAAGAUGAAAUGAGACCAGCUCACUGAGUUUACGAGCUCCCAAAUUUUUACUGAUGUUCUUUUCAAGGGAGGAACAGUCAGGCAUAUUUUUGUUUUCCUUGACUUUGUGGGCUUUGAAAAUAGGUGCUGUUCAAUAGUACGUUACGGUACCUGAAUGGUUUGAAAAGAGCUCACACAAGAAAAGACAUGGAGAGAAACUGAAGAAAAUGAUGUUAAAUAGGAUAGGAAUCUCUGUCCAGCAUGAGAAAUUGACAACUUUUCUAAAGAUCAACCUGGAAGAUCACAUUAACAGUACAAGGCAUUUAACAGACAUUGCUAAUAUUCACUGGUGUUUAUGGAAGCAUCUUCUUUCAUGUCCUUGAUAAUAUUUUUAUUCUCAAAGAUUACAAAGAGGCUGAACUAUUAGUUCAGUUCAGUUCAGUUCAGUCGCUCAGUCGUGGAACCGACUCUUUGCGACCCCGUGAAUUGCAGCACUCCAGGCCUCCCUGUUCAUCAUCAGCUCCCGGAAUUCACUCAAACUCGCAUCCAUUGAGUCGGUGAUGCCAUCCAGCCAUCUCAUCCUCUGUCGUCCCCUUCUCCUCCUGCCCCCAGUCCGUCCCAGCAUCAGAGUCUUUUCCAGUGGGUCAACUCUUCACAUGAAGUGGCCAAAGUACUGGAGUUUCAGCUUUAGCAUCAUUCCUUCCAAAGAACAUCCAGGAUUGAUCUCUUUUAGUGGACUGGUUGGAUCUCAUUGGAGUCCAAGGGACUCUCAAGAGUCUUCUCUAACACCAUAGUUCCAAAGCAUCAAUUCUUCAGUGCUCAGCUUUCUUCACAAUCCAACUCUCACAUCCAUACAUGACCACUGGGAAAACCAUAGCCUUAACUAGAUGGACCUUUGUUGGCAAAGUAAUGUCUCUGCUUUUGAAUAUGCUAUCUAGGUUGGUCAUAACUUUCCUUCCAAGGAGCAAGCGUCUUUUAAUUUCAUGGCUGCAAUCACCAUCUGCAGUGAUUUUGGAGCCCCAAAAAUAAAGUCUGACACUGUUUCCACUGUUUCCCCAUUUAUUUGCCAUGAAGUGAUGGGACCAGAUGCCAUGAUCUUCGUUUUCUGAAUGUUGAGCUUUAAGCCAACUUUUUCACCCUCCUCUUUCACUUUCAUCAAGAGGUUUUUUAGUUCCUCUUCACUUUCUGCCAUAAGGGUGGUGUCAUCUGCAUAUCUGAGGUUAUUGAUAUUUCUCCCAGCAAUCUUGCUUCCAGCUUGUGCUUCUUCCAGCCCAGCGUUUCUCAUGAUGUACUCUGCAUAGAAGUUAAAUAAGCAGGGUGACAAUAUACAACCUUGACGUACUCCUUUUCCUAUUUGGAACCAGUCUGUUGUUCCAUGUCCAGUUCUAACUGUUGCUUCCUGACCUGCAUACAGAUUUCUCAAGAGGCAGGUCAGGUGGUCUGUAUUUCCAUCUCUUUCAGAAUUUUCCACAGUUUAUUGUGAUCCACACAGUCAAAGUCUUUGGCAUAGUCAAUAAAGCAGAAAUAGAUGUUUUUCUGGAAAUCUUUACUAACAGGUAAUUCUUCUUAUUCAUUAGAGGGCCUUCACUGAGCAGUGACCAGGGUGAAGGGUGAAGGAACCAGCCUUUGUCGAG